rnacentral:rRNA from 1 species
GUGGGGAAUUUUGGACAAUGGGCGCAAGCCUGAUCCAGCAAUGCCGCGUGCAGGAAGAAGGCCUUCGGGUUGUAAACUGCUUUUGUACGGAACGAAAAGGCUCUGGCUAAUACCUGGAGCUCAUGACGGUACCGUAAGAAUAAGCACCGGCUAACUACGUGCCAGCAGCCGCGGUAAUACGUAGGGUGCGAGCGUUAAUCGGAAUUACUGGGCGUAAAGCGUGCGCAGGCGGUGCUGUAAGACAGGCGUGAAAUCCCCGGGCUCAACCUGGGAAUUGCGCUUGUGACUGCAGCGCUGGAGUGCGGCAGAGGGGGAUGGAAUUCCGCGUGUAGCAGUGAAAUGCGUAGAUAUGCGGAGGAACACCGAUGGCGAAGGCAAUCCCCUGGGCCUGCACUGACGCUCAUGCACGAAAGCGUGGGGAGCAAACAGGAUUAGAUACCCCUGUAGUCC